GGUAGAUGAAGAGGUCUGGAAAGGCCCGCCAUAGGAGGUAACAGCCCUGUAGUCAAAACUUCGUUCUCUCCUGAGUGGAUCCUGAGUACGGCGGAACACGUGAAAUUCCGUCGGAAUCCGGGAGGACCAUCUCCCAAGGCUAAAUACUCCCUAGUGACCGAUAGUGAACCAGUACCGUGAGGGAAAGGUGAAAAGCACCCCGGAAGGGGAGUGAAAGAGAUCCUGAAACCGUGUGCCUACAAGUAGUCAGAGCCCGUUAACGGGUGAUGGCGUGCCUUUUGUAGAAUGAACCGGCGAGUUACGAUUUGAUGCAAGGUUAAGCAGUAAAUGUGGAGCCGUAGCGAAAGCGAGUCUGAAUAGGGCGCCCUAGUUCGUUGGAUUAGACCCGAAACCGAGUGAUCUAGCCAUGGC
rnacentral:rRNA from 18 species